AAAAUGCGAUAAGUAGUGUGAAUUGCAGAAUUCAGUGAAUCAUCGAAUCUUUGAACGCAUAUUGCGCCCUUUGGUACUCCUUAGGGCAUGCCUGUUCGAGCGUCAUUUAAAUCUUCAAGCUUAGCUUGGUGUUGGGCGUUUGUCUCGCGUCUUCGCACAUGUAGACACGCCUUAAAGUUAUUGGCAGUCGGUACGUCAGCUUCGAGCGCAGCAGAAUCGUCUCAGGCUCGCGGAUCGCCUUCCAGGAAGCCGUAUUAUGCUUGACCUCGGAUCAGGUAGGGAUACCCGCUGAACUUAA
rnacentral:misc_RNA from 1 species